AUUGAACGCUGGCGGCAGGCCUAACACAUGCAAGUCGAGCGCGCGGCGGACGUGUGAGUAAUGUAUGGGGACUGCCCGAUAGAGGGGGGUAACUACUGGAAACAGUUUCUACUCCCGCAUACUAUAGUAUAUCCAAUAGGGGUUUAGCUAUUAGGUGGGGUAAUGGCUCACCUAGGCGCCACUCCCUAGCUGGUCUGAGAGGAUGAUCAGCCAGACUGGUACUAGGACACGGCCCGGAGUCCUACGGAGGCAGCAGUGGGGAAGAUUGCACAAUGGGCGCAAGCCGGAUGCAGCCAUGCCGCGUGUAUGAAGAAGGCCCUAGGGUUGUAAAGUACUUUCAGUCGGGAGGCGUUACCGACAGAAGAAGCACCGGCUAACUCCGUGCCAGCAGCCGCGGUAAUUC
rnacentral:rRNA from 1 species